ACACCCUCAAGCUCUGCUUGGUGUUGGGCGUCUGUCCCGCUUCGUGCGUGGACUCGCCCCAAAGUCAUUGGCAGCGGUCAUGCCAGCUUCUCGCGCAGCACAUUUGCGUUUGACGAAGUUUGGUAGAUCAGCGUCCAGGAAGCUCUUUUAUG
rnacentral:misc_RNA from 1 species